rnacentral:lncRNA from 13 species
AUGGCCUGGUAUCCAUUGCGGCUGGUAUGCAAGUUGUGGUUGCGGGGGAUACCAAGGCUGAGUAACUCCAGGUUGCCCCACUGGAGUAGGCCCCGGGUUGGCUGGUUGAGGACCGGCCUGCUGUUGAAUCAUCUGAGAGAUGUCUGUUUUGGUGCCUGUCUCCUUCGUUUCUUCCGCCACCAUCUGUUUCUUAGGUUUUUCUCCUUGUUGUGCUUCCUUCAAUUGGAGUUUCAGGAGUUGUACCUGGAGGGACUGCACCUGGCUCUCAGCACCCCCUCUUUCCUUGUUGUGCUGGGUCACAUGGUGGUGCACAUGCGUAUUGAAUUGGGUCAGAGGAAGUGCAAUCAACCCUACCGUUCCUCUGAGUUUGGUUUUAACAUCUCCAGGACACCCGUUGACCACCAUUUCCUUCCACAUGCUGAGUGUGGUAUCAGUGUGAUCGAAUGGUUCUUCGUGGACCGAUCUCCAUGUGGUCUUAGCCCUGUCCAGGUAUGCUGCAGGUUGCUCACCUGGGUUGAUUGUAAAGGAGGAUAAGGUGGCAUGGUUUCUUUCUGUAGGGUAUGCUCUCCGUAGAACUUCCCAUAAUCUGGUACGGAAGUGGUCUAUGGGCAGUGUUGGGGCCCGCCAUCCAAGGUCAGCUGCUGUCAUGAGGGCCUCCAUGGUUCCGUGGUCGGUGGCUCUUGCUAGAUGUGCUUUCAUGUCUCCUAGGCAGAGUUGCAGGCCUGACGUAAGUGUCUGCAGUUGAAGUAGCCACGCUGAAGCUCCUCCAUGUAGGCUAGGCAUCUGUCCCAUCAGUGUUGUUAAAUCAGUCAUUUUCCAGGGCUGGUACUCCACAGUGUGUGCAUCACCUGGUGUCGGUCGCAGGGGGUACUGUCCUGCCAUCUCCUGCUCUCGCUCUCUUCUAUCAGCAAUUCUGGAGGACCGACGGAGUGUUUCGGACCCCAUUGAUUCGGUAACUUUGGUUACUGUUCCUCUCAUUAUGCCUUCCACACGGUAGGCUCCCUCUCUGUUGUUAUCUUGGUUAGCUAUUAGCUCCCUGAGUUCCUUAGCUCGAGCUAUUGAUGAUUUCAGCAGCUCCUGCAUCUUAGUCACGUUUGGAGCUCCCAUCGGAGCUUGGGUGAGCACCAUGACAAUUUCUUCUUAGUUUUCGAUAUCCAUGUUCUGAUGACAGUCCUCCCUAUCCGUCUGAUAGAAGUGGUUUGAAUCUAAUCUUGUUUGUAGGUGUCCUCUGGUUUCAGAGGUGAGAGAGUUCACAGAGGAGCAUUGCGGCCUCCGUUCCUGGGGGAGGUCUCCUGCUCCUGGAAUCCCAGUUUCGAACUGUUCACAUACCAUAUGGCCAGCCGUUAUCCCCAGUGUAAUUUCCCCUUUUAACUCCCCUUGGUCUAUUCUCAGAACUGGAGCCUGUAUUGUGGGAGGUGCCCUGGGCAGGAAUGGGUUGUGUGACGGGCUCCGGUGAUUUUGUCCCUUUGAGUAUGGCGGGGGCUGAACUGCCUCCAUUGUCAAUUGUGGAUAUAGUGAGGGAGAAACGGCCACAGGGGGAGCCGUGGGCAAGUUCUCAGGCGGAGCUUUAACAUCCCCCGACGCCACAAUAGCCACGCACAUCAUGUCUGGUGUGUUUUUGGGUAGCACCCUCCUACUCUCCUGUAUGGCCCAUG